UACCAGCACCCCGAGUGGUCGGGACGAUUAUUGGGCCUAAAGCAUCCGUAGCCGGCCUUACAAGUCCUCCGUUAAAUCCACCUGCUUAACAGAUGGGCCGCGGAAGAUACUAUAGAGCUAGGAGGCGGGAGAGGCAAGCGGUACUCGAUGGGUAGGGGUAAAAUCCGUUGAUCCAUUGAAGACCACCAGUGGCGAAGGCGGCUUGCCAGAACGCGCUCGACGGUGAGGGAUGAAAGCUGGGGGAGCAAACCGG
rnacentral:rRNA from 1 species